UACGACACUUAAGCCAAUGAGUCCGUUUGUUAGGUUAAUUAUUUGUGCGCGUUUGGUUUUUGUUUGUUUGUUUGUUUGUUUGAUUUUGCUUCUGUUUUCUUCCGUUUGCAAGUUUAUGAACCCAGCCGAAGGCGAGUCUAAAAAGAUUUCCUUGCGCAAAAUGUUUCGCGGGAAACUAACGACGUUCGUAAAGUGAGCCUGCAAUCUUGACAGGUUGCAAGUUGGCCACAUGCGCGUGACUCAUGCGCACUCGGUACGAAAUGACACCGAUAUGACAAGCUACAUCUAGAAGGAAAGUUGGGCAAGAGAGCGAGAAUUUUAGACGCGAAAUACGAGUUGCUUGCUUCAUUUUUCCUUACCUUUGGGCAUUUACCGGCUUUUAGGAAUUCCAAGAAGACGCAGGCCGACCUGUUCAUCAAACCUGCUGGUAAUUUCCGCCAACAUUCACUGUUUCCGGUGCUACGUUAAAAAGUUUCGUGCCCGGUCUAUAAUUUUGUGUCCGCCAAGUCAACUCGUCGUCUGUCUCCCAAAACCUGUUUAUUCUUCACCUGUUUUGCUUCACGGCGUUUGAUAAUCACUAUGCAAGCUUCAGAUGCAGAGUGCCCGUUAUGCAUGGAGCAGUUGGAAAUCGACGACGUCAAUUUCUUCCCUUGUACUUGUGGAUACCAGAUUUGUAGAUUUUGCUGGCAUCGGAUCAGAACAGAUGAAAAUGGAUUGUGUCCUGCAUGUAGAAAGGUAUUAAUGCUCUGAUUGG